UGGCGGACGGGUGAGUAACGCGUGGAAAACCUGCCGUAUACUGGGGGAUAACACUUAGAAAUAGGUGCUAAUACCGCAUAAGCGCACAGCUUCGCAUGAAGCGGUGUGAAAAACUCCGGUGGUAUGGGAUGGACCCGCGUCUGAUUAGCCAGUUGGCAGGGUAACGGCCUACCAAAGCGACGAUCAGUAGCCGGCCUGAGAGGGUGGACGGCCACAUUGGGACUGAGACACGGCCCAAACUCCUACGGGAGGCAGCAG
rnacentral:rRNA from 1 species